GAUGAACGCUGGCGGCGUGCCUAACACAUGCAAGUCGAGCGAUCUUCUUCGGAAGAGAGCGGCGGACGGGUGAGUAACGCGUGGGUAACCUGCCCUGUACACACGGAUAACAUACCGAAAGGUAUGCUAAUACGAGAUAAUAUGCUUUUGUCGCAUGGUAGAAGUAUCAAAGCUCCGGCGGUACAGGAUGGACCCGCGUCUGAUUAGCUAGUUGGUAAGGUAACGGCUUACCAAGGCGACGAUCAGUAGCCGACCUGAGAGGGUGAUCGGCCACAUUGGAACUGAGACACGGUCCAAACUCCUACGGGAGGCAGCAGUGGGGAAUAUUGCACAAUGGGCGAAAGCCUGAUGCAGCAACGCCGCGUGAGCGAUGAAGGCCUUCGGGUCGUAAAGCUCUGUCCUCAAGGAAGAUAAUGACGGUACUUGAGGAGG
rnacentral:rRNA from 1 species